GGUUGUAUAGUGUAGCGGUUAUCACUCCAGAUUUUGACUGUACCAAAACUUCUGGUAACCCCGGUUCGAACCCGGGUACGACCU
rnacentral:tRNA from 1 species